rnacentral:rRNA from 1 species
UACGUAGGGGGCUAGCGUUGUCCGGAAUCAUUGGGCGUAAAGCGCGUGUAGGCGGCCUGGUAAGUCCGCUGUGAAAGUCGGGGGCUCAACCCUCGGAUGCCGGUGGAUACUGUCGGGCUCGAGUACGGAAGAGGCGAGUGGAAUUCCUGGUGUAGCGGUGAAAUGCGCAGAUAUCAGGAGGAACACCAAUUGUGAAGGCAGCUCGCUGGGACGUUACUGACGCUGAGACGCGAAAGCGUGGGGAGCAAACAGG